rnacentral:rRNA from 1 species
UACGUAGGGUGCGAGCGUUAAUCGGAAUUACUGGGUGUAAAGUGUGCGCAGGCGGCAGAGCAAGUCGAGUGUGAAAGCCCCGGGCUUAACUUGGGAAUUGCGCUCGAAACUACUUUGCUGGAGUGUGGCAGAGGAAGGUGGAAUUCCACGUGUAGCGGUGAAAUGCGUAGAGAUUGGGAAGAACACCGGUGGCGAAGGCGGCUCACUGGCCCGUAACUGACGCUCAUGCACGACAGCGUGGGGAUCAAACAGG